rnacentral:rRNA from 1 species
GUGUCAGCCGCCGCGGUAAUACGUAGGGGGCAAGCGUUAUCCGGAUUCAUUGGGCGUAAAGCGCGCGUAGGCGGCUUGGUAAGUCAGAUGUGAAAACCGGGGGCUCAACCCGCGGCCUGCAUCUGAAACUGCCAGGCUUGAGUCUGGUAGAGGAAAGUGGAAUUCCCAGUGUAGCGGUGAAAUGCGCAGCUAUUGGGAGGAACACCAGUGGCGAAGGCGGCUUUCUGGGCCACGACUGACGCUG